GGGCCCGCACAAGCGGUGGAGCAUGUGGUUUAAUUCGAUGAUACGCGAGGAACCUUACCAGGACUUAAAUGUAAGUUGCAUGAUUCAGAAAUGGAUCUUUCUUCGGACUACUUACAAGGUGCUGCAUGGUUGUCGUCAGCUCGUGCCGUGAGGUGUCAGGUUAAGUCCUAUAACGAGCGCAACCCCUAUCGUUAGUUGCCAUCAAGUAAAGUUGGGAACUCUAGCGAAACUGCCGGUGCAAACCGUGAGGAAGGUGGGGAUGACGUCAAAUCAUCACGGCCCUUACGUCCUGGGCCACACACGUGCUACAAUGGUCAGUACAGAAAGCAGCCACUAUGCGAAUAGGAG
rnacentral:rRNA from 1 species